UUAAAGGAAGCGCUUUGUCCACGUGGAUAUAAAGUGUGCCCUCAAGGAAGCGUUUUCUUUCCACGUGGACAAAGCGCUUCCUUGAGG
rfam:Gossypium raimondii Chr01_contig_1025, whole genome shotgun sequence.